rnacentral:rRNA from 1 species
GUGCGCCUACGGGACGCAGCAGUGACGAAUAUUGGUCAAUGGGCGGGAGCCUGAACCAGCCAAGUCGCGUGAGGGAAGACGGUCCUAUGGAUUGUAAACCUCUUUAGGCGGGGAGCAAUGCCGGGCACGUGUGCCCGGAGGGAGAGUACCCGCAGAAUAAGCAUCGGCUAACUCCGUGCCAGCAGCCGCGGUAAUACGGAGGAUGCGAGCGUUAUCCGGAUUUAUUGGGUUUAAAGGGUGCGUAGGCGGAUUUUUAAGUCAGCGGUAAAAUGUCCGGGCUCACCCCGGGCCGGCCGUUGA